AGGGGGCUUCCUGCAUGGUGUCCUAGCGGCUGGGGCUGCAGAGGGAGCUCCAGGGACUCAGAGCCCAGAAUGGAACCGUGGGCCCACAGCCUUCUGGAAGCGGAUGCCUCGCCUGUUGGUGUGGACGCCAUGCCGCACAGAACCUUCACAGGCGGUCACACUGAGGUCGUGAGGAGCCUGAAGUGGGAUCCGGACCUGUGCCCCUCCAACUUCCUGCCCCUGGUCACCGACCAUCCUGUUCUGGGCCGGCUCCCACCUAGGACAGCCGCCCAGGCCCCCUUGGGGAACCCCUUGCCACCAUGCAGGUCACAUGCUGAGCAGGGAGGCUGGGUGGUAGUGGGCAGCAGGCAAGGACCUCCCAGGCCUGCAAGCCCUCCUCUCUGCCGACCUGGCUCCCCCAUGAGGACCCCCCACAGGUACAGUCUCCUCUCCCCUGUGAGGACCCCCCACAGGUAUGGUCACCCCUCCUCCAGAGAGGACCCCCCACAGAUACAGUCUCCUCUCCCCUGUGAGGACCCCCCACAGGUACAGUCUCCUCUCCUCCAUGAGGACCCCCCGCAGGUGCAGUCACCCCUCCUCCAGAGAGGACCCCCCACAGGUACAGUCACCUCUUCCCCAUGAGAACCCUCCAGAGGUGCAGUCACCCCUCCUCAAUGAGGACCCCCCACAGGUACGGUCACCCUUCUUCCAGAGAGGACCCCCCACAGGUACAGUCUCCUCUCCUCCAUGAGGACCCCCCACAGGUACAGUCUCCUCCAUGGGAGCCGGAAUCCCAUGAAGAAAGAGGACCGGAGGUGCAGGGGCCGUGGGGUCUUCUGCCUGGCUGGCUGAGCUGAGUGAGUGGCCUUGCAUUGGGCCCAGGCUAAUAGAGGGUGCUGACUCUGCCCUUCAGGCUGGAGGGAGGCCUGUGGGGAAAUCUCCCCUGACUGGGAAGGUGCCCCUCCCUCUGCCCGGUACCUGGUUGGGGUGGGGCUGUGGUCUGCAGACCCCCAGACCCAGUCUCUGGGCCAGGUGGCCGCCCUGGCACGGCUGGGUCAGGUGAUGGG
ensembl:lncRNA